rnacentral:rRNA from 1 species
GAUCCUGGCUCAGGACGAACGCUGGCGGCGUGCUUAACACAUGCAAGUCGAACGGAGCACCCCUGAAUGAGGUUUCGGCCAAAGGAAGGGAAUGCUUAGUGGCGGACUGGUGAGUAACGCGUGAGGAACCUGCCUUUCAGAGGGGGACAACGAGUUGGAAACGACUGCUAAUACCGCAUGACACAUGAAUGGGGCAUCCCAUUGAUGUCAAAGAUUUAUCGCUGAAAGAUGGCCUCGCG